ACCAGACUCCUACGGGAGGCAGCAGUGGGGAAUAUUGCACAAUGGGGGAAACCCUGAUGCAGCGACGCCGCGUGAGUGAGGAAGUAUUUCGGUAUGUAAAGCUCUAUCAGCAGGGAAGAAAAUGACGGUACCUGACUAAGAAGCCCCGGCUAACUACGUGCCAGCAGCCGCGGUAAUACGUAGGGGGCAAGCGUUAUCCGGAUUUACUGGGUGUAAAGGGAGCGUAGGCGGCUGUGUAAGCCAGAAGUGAAAGCCCGGGGCGCAACUCCGGGACUGCUUUUGGAACUACAUGGCUUGAUUGCAGGAGAGGCAAGUGGAAUUCCUAGUGUAGCGGUGAAAUGCGUAGAUAUUAGGAGGAACACCAGUGGCGAAGGCGGCUUGCUGGACUGUAAAUGACGCUGAGGCUCGAAAGCGUGGGGAGCAAACAGGAUUAGAUACCCGCGUAA
rnacentral:rRNA from 1 species